GACGAACGCUGGCGGCGUGCUUAACACAUGCCAGUCGAACGGAAAGGCCCUGCUUUUGUGGGGUGCUCGAGUGGCGAACGGGUGAGUAACACGUGAGUAACCUGCCCUUGACUUUGGGAUAACUUCAGGAAACUGGGGCUAAUACCGGAUAGGAGCUCCUGCUGCAUGGUGGGGGUUGGAAAGUUUCGGCGGUUGGGGAUGGACUCGCGGCUUAUCAGCUUGUUGGUGGGGUAGUGGCUUACCAAGGCUUUGACGGGUAGACGGCCUGAGAGGGUGACCGGCCACAUUGGGACUGAGAUACGGCCCAGACUCCUACGGGAGGCAGCAGUGGGGAAUAGUGCACAAUGGGCGGAAGCCUGAUGCAGCAACGCCGCGUGCGGGAUGACGGCCUUCGGGUUGUAAACCGCUUUCGCCUGUGACGAAGCGUGAGUGACGGUAAUGGGUAAAGAAGCACCGGCUAACUACGUG
rnacentral:rRNA from 1 species